rnacentral:rRNA from 1 species
UCUUGAUAUUCAUAGCGCAGUGGACCCACUCCAACACCAUUCCGAACUUGGCUGUUAAACUCUGCAGCGACGAUGAUACUUGAGAGGACACUCUCCGGGAAAGUAGUUCAAUAUCAGGA